CCGAGUUACCAAACUCCAAACCAUUGUGAACUUACCAUCGUUGCUUCGGCGGGCGGCUCCGGGGGAGCCUUGAAGCCAUUACGGCGCCCGCCGAAAGCCCCAAACUCUUCUGUAUUUGAAGCUUUAUUUCUGAAUACAAUCAAAUAAACAAGUA
rnacentral:misc_RNA from 1 species